rnacentral:rRNA from 1 species
ACACAUGAACAUCGACAUUUUGAACGCAUAUUGCGGUCCAUACUGACUAGUUUCCUAACCGAAGCUGUAUGGACCACACAUGGUUGAGGGUCGUUAGUUUACGCUAACUGAAUUGCCUUAUCAUAUUAAUAUGAUUCGGCUACACCAUGAGGUGUUGUCAAUCUUAAGUGUGUUGACAUCCCUUGAAAAUACCUUUGGUACACAAUUUUCAAUUUAUUGUGGACAAUGCUUGUUUAUCAAAGAAAACAUAUAACAUAUACGCAACAACAAUUCGAAAUUAAUUUUUCCGAAAUGUAUUUGUGUGUGCAAUCCAUAUAUUCUAUUUGAGAUUAGUAAACUUUGAAUAAGCGUUUAAACAUAAUAGUUUACGCAUUUGAAUGCUAACCUGAACGUUUCAUUAGAAUUAUGAUGUACAUACUUUUCAUUUCAUUCAAGGAAAAUUUGAACGCAUUUUAAUACAGAUUUGUUACCGUGUAUAUUGUACAAUGUAUACUUUGACCAAAACGCCAUACCCGAAUCACGCACGGGUAGCAUAUAUCUACGCUAAUGAAUUGGAUUUUUUGAACAUAACCAAAAGCGACCUCAACUCAUGUGAGACUACCC